rnacentral:rRNA from 1 species
UACGAAGGGGGCUAGCGUUGCUCGGAAUCACUGGGCGUAAAGGGUGCGUAGGCGGGUCUUUAAGUCAGGGGUGAAAUCCUGGAGCUCAACUCCAGAACUGCCUUUGAUACUGAGGAUCUUGAGUUCGGGAGAGGUGAGUGGAACUGCGAGUGUAGAGGUGAAAUUCGUAGAUAUUCGCAAGAACACCGAUGGCGAAGGCAGCUCUCUGGACCGUUACUGACGCUGAGGCGCGAAAGCGUGGGGAGCAAACAGG